rnacentral:rRNA from 1 species
UGGGGAAUAUUGCACAAUGGGCGCAAGCCUGAUGCAGCCAUGCCGCGUGUGUGAAGAAGGCCUUCGGGUUGUAAAGCACUUUCAGCGGGGAGGAAGGCGUUAAGGUUAAUAACCUUGGCGAUUGACGUUACCCGCCGAAGAAGCACCGUCUAACUCCGUGCCAGCAGCCGCGGUAAUACGGAGGGUGCAAGCGUUAAUCGGAAUUACUUGGCGUAAAGCGCACGCAGGCGGUCUGUCAAGUCGGAUGUGAAAUCCCCGGGCUCAACCUGGGAAAUGCAUUGGAAACUGGGAGGCUAGAGUCUUGUAGAGGGGGGUAGAAUUCCAGGUGUAGCGGUGAAAUGCGUAGAGAGCUGGAGGAAUACCGGUGGCGAAGGCGGGCCCCUGGACAAAGAAAGACGCUCAGGUGCGAAAGAGUGGGGAGAAAAAAGG